AUUGAACGCUGGCGGCAGGCCUAACACAUGCAAGUCGAACGAGUGGCGGACGGGUGAGUAAUGUCUGGGAACCUGCCCGAUGGAGGGGGAUAACUACUGGAAACGGUAGCUAAUACCGCAUACCAUCAGAUGGGCCCAGUUGGGAUUAGCUAGUUGGUGGGGUAACGGCUCACCAAGGCGACGAUCCGUAGCUGGUCUGAGAGGAUGACCAGCCACACUGGAACUGAGACACGGUCCAGACUCCUACGGGAGGCAGCAGUGGGGAAUAUUGGACAAUGGGCGAAAGCCUGAUGCAGCCAUGCCGCGUGUAUGAAGAAGGCCUUCGGAUUGUAAAGUACUUUAAGCGGGGAGGCGUUACCCGCAGAAUAAGCACCGGCUAACUCCGUGCCAGCAGCCGCGGUAAUUC
rnacentral:rRNA from 1 species